AGUGAACGCUGGCGGUAGGCCUAACACAUGCAAGUCGAACGGCAGCACAGUAAGAGCUUGCUCUUACGGGUGGCGAGUGGCGGACGGGUGAGGAAUACAUCGGAAUCUACUUUUUCGUGGGGGAUAACGGAGGGAAACUUACGCUAAUACCGCAUACGACCUACGGGUGAAAGCAAGGGAUCUUCGGACCUUGCGCGAUUGAAUGAGCCGAUGUCGGAUUAGCUAGUUGGCGGGGUAAAGGCCCACCAAGGCGACGAUCCGUAGCUGGUCUGAGAGGAUGAUCAGCCACACUGGAACUGAGACACAGUCCAGACUCCUACGGGAGGCAGCAGUGGGGAAUAUUGGACAAUGGGCGCAAGCCUGAUCCAGCCAUACCGCGUGGGUGAAGAAGGCCUUCGGGUUGUAAAGCCCUUUUGUUGGGAAAGAAAAGCAGCAGGUUAAUACCCCGCUGUUCUGACGGUACCCAAAGAAUAAGCACCGGCUAACUUCGUG
rnacentral:rRNA from 1 species